rnacentral:tmRNA from 4 species
GGGGAUGUAAGGCUUCGAAAGAAGUUCGACUGCGCUAUUGGCAAGCAGAGGAUGAUCGGUCACCUCUAUAAUAUUUCCGUUCAACAAAAUUAAAUGCAGUAAAUAAACCUGCUUUUGCUUUCGCCUAAUUUAAGGAGGAAGCCGUCUCUCUUUUGAUGUCCGAUAAAAAGACAGAGGCGUCAUUUUCGGACUCGGUCCCGCAAACCUUCGAUGCGGAACAACAAAAAAGAAGGAGAAAUUUUGCGCAUUUCGUCCGGCUUGAAACGCAAUCUUAUAUAACCGGAAUAAGCUUGUAGAGGAUGGUGCAUUUAGCUUCUUCACGCGAGUUCAAAUCUCGCCAUCUCCAUAA